GAUGAACGCUAGCGGCAGGCUUAAUACAUGCAAGUCGGGGGGUAGCAAGAUUGUAGCAAUACAAUUGUUGACGACCGGCAAACGGGUGCGGAACACGUACACAACCUUCCUACAAGUGGGGAAUAGCCCAGAGAAAUUUGGAUUAAUACCCCGUAACAUAGUGAUGUGGCAUCACAUUGCUAUUAUAGCUUCGGCGCUUGUUUAUGGGUGUGCGGCUGAUUAGAUAGUUGGCGGGGUAACGGCCCACCAAGUCUACGAUCAGUAGCUGAUGUGAGAGCAUGAUCAGCCACACGGGCACUGAGACACGGGCCCGACUCCUACGGGAGGCAGCAGUAAGGAAUUUUGGACAAUGGGCGCAAGCCUGAUCCAGCCAUGCCGCGUGAGUGAAGAAGGCCUUCGGGUUGUAAAGCUCUUUCGGACGGGAAGAAAUUGGUGGGGCUAAUAUCCCCAUCGGAUGACGGUACCGUAAUAAGAAGCACCGGCUAACUACGUGCCAGCCGCCGCAGUAAUAC
rnacentral:rRNA from 1 species